rnacentral:rRNA from 1 species
AUAUCGGUAGGGGAGCGUUCUGUUUUAGGUAGAAGUAUUAGCGUAAGCGGGUAUGGACGAAGCAGAAGUGAGAAUGUCGGCUUGAGUAACGAAAAUAUAGGUGAGAAUCCUAUACCCCGAAAACCCAAGGUUUCCUCCGGAAGGCUCGUCCGCGGAGGGUAAGUCAGGACCUAAGGCGAGACUGAAAAGUGUAGUCGAUGGACAACGGGUUAAUAUUCCCGUACCAUUUUUUAUUGAUAUCGAGGGACGGAGAAGGCUAAGCUAGCCGGAUAUUGGUUACCGGUUUAAACGUUCAAGAUGUUGAGAGGUGGAGAAAACACCUUGAGUUGAGGCGUGAAUACGAGAUGCUAAGGCGUCGAAGUAGUGUAUGUCAGACUUCCAAGAAAAGCUUGCACUGUCAUAAAUAAAAAAUGCCUGUACCAUAACCGACACAGGUGGGUAGGUAGAGUAUACUAAGGGGCGCGAGAUAACUCUCUCUAAGGAACUCGGCAAAAUAACUCCGUAACUUCGGAAGAAGGAGUGCCUUAUGCAAAUAAGGUUGCAAUAACAAGAUCCAAGCAACUGUUUAUCAAAAACACAGGUCUCCGCUAAGUCGUAAGACGAUGUAUGGGGGCUGACGCCUGCCCAGUGCCAGAAGGUUAAAGAAGUUGGUUAGCAUAAGCGAAGCUGAUAACUGAAGCCCUGGUGAACGGCGGCCGUAACUAUAACGGUCCUAAGGUAGCGAAAUUCCUUGUCGGGUAAGUUCCGACCCGCACGAAAGGUGUAACGAUCUGGAUACUGUCUCAGAGAGAGACUCGGUGAAAUAAAACUAGCUGUGAAGAUGCGGCUUACCUGCACACGGACAGAAAGACCCUAUGAAGCUUUACUGUAACCUGGAAUUGCUUUCAAGCUUAUUUUGCGCAGCUUAGGUGGGAGGCUACGAACCUUUUCUUCCGGGAAGAGGGGAGCCAUCAGUGAGAUACCACUCUUGGUAAGCUAGAGCGCUCAUUUCUAACCGUUAUCCGGUAGAAAGACAGUUUCAGGCGGGCAGUUUGACUGGGGCAGUCACCUCCCAAAAGGUAAUGGAGGUGUACAAAGGUUCGCUCAGGCUGGACGGAAAUCAGCCAUAGAGUGUAAAAGCAUAAGCGAGCUUGACUGCGAGACUGACAUGUCAAGCAGAGACGAAAGUCGGUUUUAGUGAUCCGACGGUGCUGAGUGGAAA